rnacentral:rRNA from 1 species
CCUACGGGUGGCAGCAGUGGGGAAUAUUGGGCAAUGGGCGCAAGCCUGACCCAGCAACGCCGCGUGAAGGAAGAAGGCUUUCGGGUUGUAAACUUCUUUUGUCAGGGACGAAGCAAGUGACGGUACCUGACGAAUAAGCCACGGAUAACUACGUGCCAGCAGCCGCGGUAAUACGUAGGUGGCAAGCGUUAUCCGGAUUUAUUGGGUGUAAAGGGCGUGGAGGCGGGAAUGCAAGUCAGCUGUGAAAACUAGGGGCUCAACCCAGAGACUGAAUUGGAAACUGGAUUUCUUGAGUGCUGGAGAGGUAGUCGGAAUUCCGGGUGUAGCGGUGAAAUGCGGAGAUAUCAGGAGGAACACCAGUGGCGAAGGCGGAUUGCUGGACAGUAACUGACGCUGAGGCGCGAAAGCGUGGGGAGCAAACAGGAUUAGAUACCCUAGUAGUC